rnacentral:rRNA from 2 species
ACGGCUCAGUAACACGUGGCUAAUCUGCCCUUAGGACGAGAACAACCCCGGGAAACUGGGGCUAACUCUUGAUAGGUGAAGAACUCUGGAAUGAGUCUUUGCCUAAAAAGAUUCACGUUAUCCUCGUGAACCUGCCUAAGGAUGAGGCCGCGACCGAUCAGGUUGUUGGCGAGGUAAUGGCUCACCAAGCCUUUUACCGGUGCGGGCCGUGGGAGCGGGAGCCCGGAGAUGGGUACUGAGACAAGGACCCAGGCCCUACGGGGCGCAGCAGUCGCGAAACCUUUGCAAUACACGAAAGUGUGACAGGGCUAUCCCGAGUGCCAUCCGCUGAGGAAGGCUUUUACCCAGUCUAGAACGCUGGGGGAAUAAGGAGAGGGCAAGUCUGGUGUCAGCCGCCGCGGUAAUACCAGCUCUCCGAGUGGUGUGGAUGUUUAUUGGGCCUAAAGCAUCCGUAGCUGGCUAGGUAAGUCCCUUGUUAAAUCCACCGAAUUAAUCGUUGGAUCGCGGGGGAUACUGCUUGGCUAGGGGACGAGAGAGGCAGACGGUAUUUUCGGGGUAGGGGUGAAAUCCUAUAAUCCCGGGAAGACCACCAGUGGCGAAGGCUGUCUGCUAGAACGCGCCCGACGGUGAGGGAUGAAAGCUGGGGGAGCGAACCGGAUUAGAUACCCGGGUAGUCCCAGCUGUAAACGAUGCAGACUAGGUGUUUGGACGGCCACGUGCCGUUCUAGUGCCGCAGGGAAGCUGUUAAGUCUGCCGCCUGGGGAGUACGAUCGCAAGAUUGAAACUUAAAGGAAUUGGCGGGGGAGCAC